rnacentral:rRNA from 1 species
AGAGUUUGAUCAUGGCUCAGAAUCAACGCUGGCGGCGUGCCUAACACAUGCAAGUCGAACGAGAAAGUGGAGCAAUCCAUGAGUACAGUGGCGUACGGGUGAGUAACACGUGACUAACCUACCCUCGAGUGGGGAAUAACCUCGGGAAACCGGGGCUAAUACCGCAUAAUCUCUAUGGAGCAAAUGCGCAAGCAGCUUGA